AUUUUCGCUAAUUCAUUCCAUUAAGCAAUGGCAAGCAAACAUUUCGCAACACCGCACCUGCAUUCUUCUCAAUUAAACCCUAAAAAUUUUCAAAAUCGAAUGGUGGAUAUUAACCGGAUCGAACCUACCGUAAUAGAUGCAUCUGAAACGGCAUUUGAAAUUUGAAAUGGCAUUGAAGUUGGAAAGCAGAAAGAGAGGAGAGAAAAAGAAAAACAGAAUGAGCAGUGCACAAGAGAAGAAAGAGUCGAGUGCUGCAUUGCAAGGAAAAAAGAAGUCUGAGGAGUCGACUCAACUGAUAGCUUCAGACCGAGUGGAGAAAA